rnacentral:misc_RNA from 1 species
GCAAGUUUAGCUCUUUGGAGGAAUUGGCCUCGUACGUUAAGGCCAUUGCUAAUAAUCCAGUAGCUUAUGCAGAGUACCAUGCUUGGAGAAGAUGUGGCGUGCUGGGUAACUAUAGAAAAACACGGGCAGCUAGUCUGGAUACCUUGCCUUGCAGGUUAUGUGAAGCCAUCAGUAAAAGAAAUGGAAGAAAUGCAAAAGCCUCUUGACUAUUCAACAGCAAAGCUACAGGGUACUAGGCUUUAAAUUGUGUACUUAGAUCAACUAGUGUUGUUUCUAAACAGUGCAUGUCUUGUUAGGACUUAGGAUAUAGU